rnacentral:sRNA from 1 species
GAUUUUAAGUACACACAUAAACUGCAAUGAGCCUAUGAGCAUACAGACAAUAGGUAAUAAAUGUAGCCGUACAGGAGGAGCUCAGGUUAAAAUGAGGACAAUAUGAAGAGUUGCCUCCCAUUGUACUUCCUAGGCAAUGUUAGCUACUUGAAUAAUGGACAGACUAGAUUGGUGCUCCAAACAUUUCUACUUAUUCCUUGAAUGCUCAAUCCCACUACUUCGGUAGAUUUGGAUGCAUUUUAUUUGUAUAUAGCAGAUAGAAUUAUAGAUAGUGGUAAAGCCAGGGGGAGGGCUGGACGCUUACGUAAACAAACAACAUUGGCAUGCUAACUAUCACAAGUAAAACUAAGGCAACAGAGGGGACGCAACAGAAACAUAUACUAGAGAUCAUAGAACAUGAGGAGGCUGAAGAACCUGACUCUGACUCAUUAAGGAAUCUGGCACUUAAUGGGCAAUACAAACAAGUUAAAGAAGAAUUGUAAAGACCAAGGUAAUUUCUAAGAGUUAGUGAAAUUACUACCCAAGUAUGAUCCACAUUAUUAAUGUCAUUUUAUUAUCUGCUUGAACUAUGGCAGGAAUUCGGGCUGCUGAAGCUGAAAUCAAUUCAGUAACAUUUUUUGAUACACUGAAUUUAUAAAAAUUUUUCUAACUUCAUCACACCACUAACAUGUCCUCACCAAAACAAGUGGUUGGUUACAACCUAAAUUCAAAGAGACAUUGGCUAGUACAGAUGAAAACUCUUCUACUAGGUCUAAAGCAGACGGAUUGUAAGUUGCUAUGCAGUCUUCAUUUUCUUAAUUACCUUGGGUUUUUGGCCCCUGUACCAACUGAAAUAAAGUAUGUGUAAGUAUACAUUAAAAAAAAAUGAUUGUCAAUUCAAGACUGAUGCAUUUAAACCAAAAGCAUCAAAAACAUUCUUAACUUGUAGUAAGGAUGACAUCAGUGGAGCAAGUUUUACCUUUUACGAAAGCAUGUGCUUAGAUCUGGUGGUUAGCAGAACUUCAAAGACGUAUUGGCCACACAAAAUUAAAGAAUGCCAGAU